rnacentral:rRNA from 1 species
CUUGGUCAUUUAGAGGAAGUAAAAGUCGUAACAAGGUUUCCGUAGGUGAACCUGCGGAAGGAUCAUUAUUGAAAUUAUUGGUGAGGGUUGUAGCUGGCCUUUCGGGGCAUGUGCACACCCGAGCCCUUAAUCCACUUUACACCUGUGCACUUAAUGUAGGUCACCCUUGAAAAGGUGACCUAUGUCUUAUCAUCAACCCAUAGUAUGUCCAAUAGAAUGUAAUCGAUAUCCUCGCCCUAAAAAAGCGUUGAUAAACUUAUACAACUUUCAACAACGGAUCUCUUGGCUCUCGCAUCGAUGAAGAACGCAGCGAAAUGCGAUAAGUAAUGUGAAUUGCAGAUUUUCAGUGAAUCAUCGAAUCUUUGAACGCACCUUGCGCUCCUUGGUAUUCCGAGGAGCAUGCCUGUUUGAGUAUCAUUAAAUUCUCAACUCCAAGGGUUUCACGACCUUUCGGAGAUUGGACUUGGAGGUGCCGGCCGCGUAUGGUCAGCUCCUCUCAAAUGCAUCGGCGGAAUUCAACCUUUGGGCUUCCGGACGUCAGUGUGAUAAUCAUGUUGCGCUGUCGUUUGACCCUCAGAGUCCGCUUAUAAUGGUCUUCGGACAAAUCAUCAUCAAAUUUGAUCUCAAAUCAGGUAGGACUACCCGCUGAACUUAAGCAUAUCAAUAAGCGGAGGAA